UACGUAGGGUGCGAGCGUUGUCCGGAAUUACUGGGCGUAAAGAGCUCGUAGGUGGUUUGUCGCGUUGUUCGUGAAAACUCACAGCUCAACUGUGGGCGUGCGGGCGAUACGGGCAGACUGGAGUACUGCAGGGGAGACUGGAAUUCCUGGUGUAGCGGUGGAAUGCGCAGAUAUCAUGAGGAAGACCAGUGGCGAAGGCGGGUCUCUGGACAGUUCCUGACACUGAGGCACGAAGGCCAGGGGAGCAAACGGG
rnacentral:rRNA from 1 species